GUCUCCAUUGCCUUUUAGGACCAAAGAUUUGCUGAUGUUCCAGGACUAGGUUGACAUUGCAUUCUUUUGUCUGAUUAACUAUCUAGAGGUGGUUGAAUUGGAACUAGCUUGUUACCGACAGAAGCUCAGGCUUUGUAUUCCAUGAAAUAAACACAGACAGGGGUCUUUGUGGUACCGUUCAGAAGACCAGCACCUUCAGGAGACCCUGAAGCUCUUGUCUCCAGGCUUCCAGUGAGACACACACCCAUGAGGCUUCACGCAGAUAUCAGUCAAGGCUUUGGACUUCCAGAAUUUAUGAUGUAGAAGCUUAGUGAAAAUAACUGUCUUAUCACCCAGAAUUGACACCAGGUAUGAGUUUCAUCAUUUGUGAGACUAUUUAGGCACAACGAAUCAUAUGAGAAAUCAUGGAAGAAGGAAUCUAUCAUUUGACUCUCCCUUCAUGGAAAUUUCUAGUAAAUUCAAAGGCCAAA